GGAGAGGUAGCGAAGCUGGCCGUAACGCGCCCGACUCGAAAUCGGGUUGUCCCGGAGACGGGGCACGUGGGUUCGAAUCCCACCCUCUCCGCCA
rnacentral:tRNA from 1 species